AAAGCUAUCUUCCAGCUUUGCAGGAGAGGCCAUGGGUGCAGAAUGGGGUGCAGCCCCAUGGUGUCCCCUGACAGAUCCAAUGUGCAGUCUGAUGAAGUGUGGGUGGGUGUGGUCUAUGGCUGGCAGCCACCAUGAUCCAAGAGAGCCUGACUUGGGAGGGCAGCCAGGCAGCUAAAGGCUGCUCCCAUAUCAUGCGGGAGCACCUGGGCCUGGCCUUCCAGACCCCGAGGGCAUCCAGCCAGCUGGGUGUUCUGCUUGCUGGUCUACACGCAGCCACUGAGCAUCUCGGCCAUGCAGCUGGCCCUGAGACAGCAGCAGCACAAAAAGGCCUCCAGGCCAAGAGGUGAACAGGGCACACGACUAAGCACAAGGCCUGCAUUUGGACCAAAGGGCACCCUGGCAAACCUAAGCCCAGAGUGA
rnacentral:lncRNA from 1 species